GACGAACGCUGGCGGCGUGCUUAACACAUGCAAGUCGAACGGAAAGGCCCAGCUUGCUGGGUACUCGCGUGGCGAACGGGUGAGUGACACGCGGGUGAACUGCCCUCAUCUUUGGGAGAAGCCUCGUAAACAGGGCGUAAUACAGGACAUGAUAUACUGUGGCCCGGUGGGUGGUGUAGAGCUUUUGCGGUUGGGGAUGGGCUCGCGGCGUAUCAGCUUGUUGGUGGGGAAUUGGCCAACCAAGGCGACGCCGGGUAGCCGACCUGAGAGGGUGAUCGGCCACACUGGGACUGCGACACGGCCCAGACUCCUACGGGAGGCAGCAGUGGGGAAUAUUGCACAAUGGGCGCAAGCCUGAUGCAGCGACGCCGCGUGCGGGAUGACGGCCUUCGGGUUGUAAACCUCUUUCGCCGGAGACGAAGCGUGAGUGACGGUACCUGGUGAAGAAGCACCGGCUAACUACGUG
rnacentral:rRNA from 1 species